GUAGGCUAGGCAGUGAGAGACUGGGGUUGUUGAGAAACUCCUCAGUGCUCUAUGCUAGUGCAGAGCAGAGAGUGACCUUCAUUUCCUCCAUCCUGGCCGAGUGCCCUUUCUCCCCUGAGCUGGGGACACCAAGACAAGCCAAGAAAAUCAUCCCCUGAACACGCGAAGCUAGAAGCUCCCCUGCUGAUCCUCUCACUGCGCAUAGCACGCGAGAUCUUAGUUCCCCGACCAGGUAUCAAACCCAUACUCCCUGCGGUGGAAGCACUGAGUCUUAACCACUGGACUGCCAGUUAAAAAAAAAAGUGAGUCCUUUAAUGGCUAUAUAUCACAGCAAGAGGAAGCAACCAGAAAAAUAAAGGAACAGAGUGAACCGGUGAAUACAUCUCACAGAACAGCCUUUGCCUUCUCUCUAGCUAUGGAGCCAAGGAAGCAACUUCUGCUUCCAACACUACAAAGAAUUUCAUAUAUCCUUUGCUCAGA